GAUGAACGCUGGCGGCGUGCUUAACACAUGCAAGUCGAACGGUGACCGCAAGGUUACAGUGGCGCACGGGUGAGGAACACGUAGCUUAUCUGCCCAGAAGCGCGGGAUAACGCCCCGAAAGGGGUGCUAAUACCGCAUAAGCUCCCGCUCUACAGAGGAAUGGGAGAAAAGGCGCAAGCCACUUUUGGAGGAGGCUGCGGCCCAUCAGGUAGUUGGUGCGGUAACGGCGCACCAAGCCGACGACGGGUAGGGACCUGAGAGGGUGAUCCCCANACUGGGACUGAGACACGGCCCAGACUCC
rnacentral:rRNA from 1 species